CUUGUCUAAAUAACUCAUUACAAUGUUAACAUUGAGUAUUUUGUGGUUAUAUGAUAAUCAAAUGUUUACAUCUGAUCUCCAUCAGUUUACUGUAAAGAUCCUGUAGUUGUACACAAUGUGUCAGAAAACAGCUGGCUCUGCUAAUUGUAUUUAAAAACUGUGAUGUGAUUUAUUAUGUAGAGAGAGAAUGUAGAAUAGGAGAUGAUAACAAGAACUGUGCCAGUGGGCCUCCAGCAAAGUGCCUGUGACAGAGCCAGUGAUGAGGUGGCGUGACAGGAAAUCAGCUACGCUCAUCAACGGCCUCACAUGUGGAUAUCAGGACAGCAUGAAGCCUGUAGAGCUAAACACACAUAUCUACCCACUACAGCUGUGGUCAAACGUUUACAUACACUUGUAAAGAACAUGAUGUCAUGGCUCUCCUUGAGUUUCCCCUUAUUCCUACAAGUCUGAUUUUCCUCUGAUAGAAGAAUCUGUUCCAAUCACUCUGUCACAACAACAUUCAUGAGGUUUGGUUCUUUUAGGACUUAAUUAUGGGUUAACAGAGAACAUGACAGAAUCUGCUGGGUCAUAAAUAUACAUACAGCAGUGAUAAUAUUUGGUCACAUGUCCUUUGGCCAUUUUCACUUCUAUUGGGCGCUUUUGGUGGCCGUCCACAAGCUUCUCGUUGAAUCUUUGACCGCUCCUCUGGACAACAGAAUUGGUGCUGUUCAGUUAAAUGUGAAGGCUCUCUGACAUGGACUUGUUUCUUCAGCAUUGUUCACAUCCACCAGCACCAGAUCCAUUGGCAGCAUAAUACUACCACCACCGUGCUUGGCGGUAGACAUGGGGCGUAUUCCAGAAAGGAGGUUCAACAAACUCUGAGUCUAUCCCUGAACUCCGAGUUGACUUACUCUGAGUAUCCGCUUCCAGAACAGCUGAUCUGCGUUAGUUCAUUCAUUUUUUGGUCUCGUCUGACCACAGAACUUUCCUCCAGAAGGUCUCAUCUUGGUCCACGUGAUCAGCAGCAAACUUCAGUCGAGCCUUAAGGUGGCGCUUUUGGAUCAAGAGCUUCCUUCCUGCACGGCAGCCUCUCCGUCCAUGGAGAUGCCAAACACGACUGUGGACAUGGACACUGUGUUCCAGCAGCUUCU
ensembl:lncRNA